rnacentral:rRNA from 1 species
UACGUAGGGGGCAAGCGUUGUCCGGAUUUAUUGGGCGUAAAGAGCGUGUAGGCGGCUAGAUAGGUCCGUUGUGAAAACUCGAGGCUCAACCUCGAGACGUCGAUGGAAACCAUCUGGCUAGAGUCCGGAAGAGGAGAGUGGAAUUCCUGGUGUAGCGGUGAAAUGCGCAGAUAUCUGGAGGAACACCGGUGGCGAAGGCGGCAUCCUGGACCGAGACUGACACUGAGGAGCGAAAGCCAGGGGAGCGAACGGG